GAAGGUGGCCUGUGAGGGUUGCUGGAGGUAUCAGAAGUGCGAAUGCUGACAUAAGUAACGAUAAAGCGGGUGAAAAGCCCGCUCGCCGGAAGACCAAGGGUUCCUGUCCAACGUUAAUCGGGGCAGGGUGAGUCGACCCCUAAGGCGAGGCCGAAAGGCGUAGUCGAUGGGAAACGGGUUAAUAUUCCCGUACUUGGUGUUACUGCGAAGGGGGGACGGAGAAGGCUAUGUUGGCCGGGCGACGGUUGUCCCGGUUUAAGCGUGUAGGUGUGUGUUCCAGGUAAAUCCGGUUCACUUUAACACUGAGGCGUGACGACGAGGCACUACGGUGCUGAAGCAACAAAUGCCCUGCUUCCAGGAAAAGCCUCUAAGCAUCAGGUAACAUCAAAUCGUACCCCAAACCGACACAGGUGGUCAGGUAGAGAAUACCAAGGCGCUUGAGAGAACUCGGGUGAAGGAACUAGGCAAAAUGGUGCCGUAACUUCGGGAGAAGGCACGCUGACACGUAGGUGAAGUGAUUUACUCAUGGAGCUGAAGUCAGUCGAAGAUACCAGCUGGCUGCAACUGUUUAUUAAAAACACAGCACUGUGCAAACACGAAAGUGGACGUAUACGGUGUGACGCCUGCCCGGUGCCGGAAGGUUAAUUGAUGGGGUCAGCGCAAGCGAAGCUCCUGAUCGAAGCCCCGGUAAACGGCGGCCGUAACUAUAACGGUCCUAAGGUAGCGAAAUUCCUUGUCGGGUAAGUUCCGACCUGCACGAAUGGCGUAAUGAUGGCCAGGCUGUCUCCACCCGAGACUCAGUGAAAUUGAACUCGCUGUGAAGAUGCAGUGUACCCGCGGCAAGACGGAAAGACCCCGUGAACCUUUACUAUAGCUUGACACUGAACAUUGAGCCUUGAUGUGUAGGAUAGGUGGGAGGCUUUGAAGUGUGGACGCCAGUCUGCAUGGAGCCGACCUUGAAAUACCACCCUUUAAUGUUUGAUGUUCUAACGUGGACCCGUUACCCGGGUUGCGGACAGUGUCUGGUGGGUAGUUUGACUGGGGCGGUCUCCUCCUAAAGAGUAACGGAGGAGCACGAAGGUUGGCUAAUCCUGGUCGGACAUCAGGAGGUUAGUGCAAUGGCAUAAGCCAGCUUGACUGCGAGCGUGACGGCGCGAGCAGGUGCGAAAGCAGGUCAUAGUGAUCCGGUGGUUCUGAAUGGAAGGGCCAUCGCUCAACGGAUAAAAGGUACUCCGGGGAUAACAGGCUGAUACCGCCCAAGAGUUCAUAUCGACGGCGGUGUUUGGCACCUCGAUGUCGGCUCAUCACAUCCUGGGGCUGAAGUAGGUCCCAAGGGUAUGGCUGUUCGCCAUUUAAAGUGGUACGCGAGCUGGGUUUAGAACGUCGUGAGACAGUUCGGUCCCUAUCUGCCGUGGGCGCUGGAGAACUGAGGGGGGCUGCUCCUAGUACGAGAGGACCGGAGUGGACGCAUCACUGGUGUUCGGGUUGUCAUGCCAAUGGCACUGCCCGGUAGCUAAAUGCGGAAGAGAUAAGUGCUGAAAGCAUCUAAGCACGAAACUUGCCCCGAGAUGAGUUCUCCCUGAGACUUAAAGUCUCCUGAAGGAACGUUGAAGACGACGACGUUGAUAGGCCGGGUGUG
rnacentral:rRNA from 1 species